rnacentral:tRNA from 1 species
ACCCAGGUGGCUCAGUGGUAAAGAAUCUGCCUGUCAAGCAGGAAAUGUGCUUUUGAUCCCUGGGUC